AAUGCUGGGCAGAGGCUCCGAGCCAAGAGACCCCCGCCCCCUGCCCCGGGACCCACCUGGGCGGAGGCGAGGGCAGGAGCGCUGGGGGCCCAGAGAGAGGACGCCGCGAUUGAUGGAUGAGCUGUUUCCAGCAUUCCUGCUUCAACUCAAAAUUUUCCUUCAUGGCGCAGUGGAAAGCUUUGAAGACCGCGGUUCUGGGGCUGAAAAUGAAGGCAACUCGGACUAAGACGACGACUGCUUUCCAACUGCCCUCUGGCCCUGCAGCCCGCGGAUUUGAGGAAGGGGCUGGGAUCCUUCCCCUUGCUCCCUGGUUGUUCUCGGAGUUACAGCAGUCCCGCGGCAGCUCUGCCUCCUAGUGCACAUGUGAGGCAGCGCGCCCUUCUCAUCCAGAAGCCUCCUCGCGGUGCUGCCAGCAAGGGAGUUUUUCUGUAUUCACUCCGGUGGAACAAGCAAAACUUGACAACCCCAAGCCAAACCAAAA